GUCUCUGGGCUGUCACUGUGUGUCCUGUCACUGGGGGAGCCCCUAGCUGCGCCGGCCUCGGGAGCCCACAGACAACCUCCUGGGAGACAGCAGGGAUGGUCACAAGCAAUGCGCUCAGGUCCCUUAACACCUAGGUGCGCACAGCACCGCGACAGGAAGUGGGCAAUCCACCUGGUCUUGGUGAAGACAAUGAUUUUGAAGGGACAGUCAGUACAUUUCCAAUCAUCAAGUCAUUUAAUGGACGAAGCUGGUCCCUUUCUUUUUGGACAGAAAGAAUAACAACAACAACAAAAACCCUAGGCAUCUAAUUUUUUUUUCUCAUUUUUUUGGAAAGCGGGGUGAGAGGAACUCCCAAGAAAACCCCUGGGGAGACAGCGAGUGGGGUGAGUGGAAAGGAGAUCGGAGGGCUGCAGAGGGCGGAGGUGAGAGGUGGACUCGGGGAGGCCGAGAGCGACACAGGCUGGGGACCGAGGGCGAGCGGCAGGCUCUCCUCCGCCCCAGCGGGACCGCGCGACGCCCGCCGCUGCUCCCGGGGACCGCGGUGGCUGGGCAGGGCCGCGGGCUGCGGCGGGCGCUGCCUUCCAACGUGCCCGGGGACGUCCCCGGUGCCAGCCGAUGAGGCGCGGAGGACGGCUUCCCGGAUAAUCGCCCCAACUUACCAGGCGCGGAGUCCGCGGCUGCAAAAGGACGGGCGGGCGCCGGGGCCAGCGAGGGCCCGGCCUCCAGGUGCCCGGAGCGCACAGCUACUGCCACUUGGAGCGGUGCCAGCCUCAUUUGAAUCCCAGCCUUUGUGAAUAACUCAAGUGUCGCCACCGUUGCUCCAGCAAUCGCAGGGCGUCUGGGCUCACACCACCCUGCCUCGCCCCGGGGAGCCCAACGGGGCUGCCUCCCUCCCCGCAGCCUCCAAGCCUCGAAGGGCGGUGGGGAGGCUGCCCUGGCUGAACCUUCUAGGCCUGUUCCCACCCCGCAGCCGCAGCAGGAGGCCGGUGGGACCCGGUCUGGCUUUCUGCCAAGUCUGUCGCCUUUCUACCUGGGAAUCUAUCUGGAGCCCUGGCUGUGUGCAGAGGCGUCUCUGGUGUGCCAGCGCAUCUUCUCUCUUCAUCAGGAGACAAUUAAAUAGGUUUGGUUUAAACGUCUGCUAGGUGUGUCCUCCCGCUGGGGGGCCUCUCUUCCUCACUCAGACCUUCUGUUAGACGUUUUGGGUAGAGUGCCUCCUGUGCUGCAGGUCCUGUGCUGGGCACGCAAAGAGCCCAGAGGGAGGGGGAGACGUUGCAGCAACGCAUACAACCAGCCUCUGCCUCGAGGUGCAACUUGUCUACUCGAGGAAGGGGUGCAAACAGAUGGGACAGAUGCAAAUUUCACCUUCACACACACUCUGGUAUGCAAAAACGGUAAGUCCUCCGUUUGUCCACACCCAAACUUCUGUCUCCGCCCCCAUUAUGCUCAAGAUAGGAAAAUCAAUCUAAUCAUCUCCAAAUAGAUUCAACUGGGUGAAUUUUUCUUUGCUUCAGAUUUACAAUAGGUCAAAUGAGUGGUUUGUCUCAAGUCACCCUCCUCCCUAGGAUUGACAGUCAGCUCUGAUGCUCAAACACCAGACAUUGUGCUCAUUGUGUGGAAUGCUUUCUUUAGGAGAGAGUGUGAUUUGCUGUUGCUUUACUAUUUGGGCCUUGUUGAAGCAGAGGAGGAUGAUAUUUAAGACCAACUGGGCAGCCGUGUUAAAUGCCCCUCAGAGGAAGAGGCCUGCUCCAAACCACAAGUUUUGAUCUCUUAGGUUCUAUCCGGUGAGAGCAGAGAAGGGGUCUGUGGCAGACAUAGUACAGGAUUAAAUUUCCCAUGGGACAGAGAAAGUUCCAGGUAGAAAUGAGGUCUGGGUGAACAGAGGACUUGGCGUUAUACACCUGAGUUUGUGUGACCAUGAACUUUGCAUUUCUGUUGCCUCCCCCAGAAAAUGUGUGCCUCAGACAGGAAUCUUGUGCACAUUCCUCGUUGGCGAGGCAUAGUGCUUUGUCUGCUGAGCCCCACUUCUGCUCCAACAGCUGGAGAGGACUCCUUUCUCCCGCUACAAGUACUCCUCCAGGGAUAGGUACAGGAGUGUAGAGGGGUGAAAAGCGUUGUCUGUGUGGAAAUUCUGGAUCCUCCAGAGGCCUGUGAGAAGAAAUGCUCUUCUUCUUGCCACCUUUUGUACUUUGAUGCAGUUAUAGGAGAGAAUCAUUAUGUGAGGAGGUUAAAAAAAAAUUGACAAACUGGAGAUGUCAGAGUGGAAGGAAGGGGAAAAGAGGUUCUUGAUGGAACUGAUUUGGCAAACUGACUCUGGGACUGUCUGUCUUAGACAAAUCACAGAUCUUUAUGGUUUGAACCACCUUUAGUAAAGUAUUUUAUUAUGUAUGGUUGGAACACAUUCCUACUGAAACCGCAUCUGGGGGAUUUGACAGUUGUCCCCCGGUCAUCAGUGGUGUUUGAAAAAGAGAGAAGUUGUGGAGAUGCAAGUCUGAUGCAAGAUUAAGAAGUAAAUGGGAAAAUUCUGUUUCUGGCAAUAUGGAGGACCAAAUAUGGAGGACCAAAUAGUCACAGAGAAAUUCUGGAAAAAUGUAACAACAUUCUUGUAAGUGCAUAACUGAGCUCAUUUAGAAAGAAGAAAAAACCGUCAGAGCUAAUCUACCUUGGGGACUGCCGUGGCUAGGAACAUGGUAGCCUUGGUAGAAUGGGCUGUAACUCCAACCAGAUAUAAAACUUAAAUAAAGUCUUGUAUUGA